UACGGGGGGGCGAAGCGUUGUUCGGAAUUACUGGGCGUAAAGGGCUCGUAGGCGGCCAACUAAGUCAGACGUGAAAUCCCUCGGCUUAACCGGGGAACUGCGUCUGAUACUGGAUGGCUUGAGUUUGGGAGAGGGAUGCGGAAUUCCAGGUGUAGCGGUGAAAUGCGUAGAUAUCUGGAGGAACACCGGUGGCGAAGGCGGCGUCCUGGACCAACACUGACACUGAUGAGCGAAAGCCAGGGGAGCAAACGGG
rnacentral:rRNA from 1 species